UGCAAAUGGAAUUAUUUCAGCAUAGUUAUCCUAAAUAACCCCAUGUAGGGAAACCUGUAUUGUGGCACAAAAGCACCUUACUCUCCUUUAUCAUAAUCCAUUUAAAUGUGGAUUAUGCUGAUGCAGAACAGGGCACUCCUACUUUGGAAUAAUUUUAAAUAGGAAUAGUUUUUGUGCUUUUGGCUCACGCCCUGCAUUAUCCAAACUGGCUUUGAAGUGUAAACAAGCCUCUGAUGUGUCUGUAAUAUUUCCAUUCUGCUCACUGACUCCUCCUUGUUUCUUGGCUCUUCCUUUGGGAAGGUCCAGAGCAAAACCAGACCUGCAGAGCCCGUCAUUUAGGUCUUUGCUUUCACAAACCUCAUACCAAGGGACGUUUCCAAUCCAAUUCCCAAUUUAAAUGCCCUCCCUAAGCUUUGAAGGGAAUAUUUAGAUGCAAGUUUCUGACGCUGAGCCAUCCCCACAAAUUAUAUUAGGACAUUAAAUGUUUCCUUUCACACUUUCCUGAGAUGGAGGUUUGUGUUUCAAAUCUCCUGUGGUCUGUUUUGGGACUGUUUGGGGUUUUCUCUCUAUUACUAUCUCUCUGUUCUGCAUCUCCAGAGAAACCUGUGGGGUGCAGCUCUGAGAAGGGUCCAAUGCAGGGAUUGCUGCCAUAUGAUGUGUAAGAAAGGGUCCCUGAAAUCUCCCUCUUGCUUUGUGUCAAAAGCCAUUUUUACACCUGUUCCCAUGAAAAGUCGCAGCUUCUUACCUGAGCUCCAGCCCUCGGUCCUGCCUGGUGUGGGAGUUGCUCCCAUCUGAGUUCCCCAUGGAUUUACCUGCUGGAAUUUGCCAGAUCUCUCUGGGAGCUGCUGCAGCGUCCUGCUCGUGGCGAUGCCACGAAAAAAACUAAUUUGGAUCUUCAUUGCCUGGAGAUCAGCGGGGCUGUUUUAUCU
rnacentral:lncRNA from 1 species